AGAGUUUGAUCCUGGCUCAGAACGAACGCUGGCGGCAGGCCUCAAACAUGCAAGUCUAGGGGGUGUAGCAAUACAUCACCGGCGGACGGGUGCGUAACGCGUGGGAAUAUACCUAUUGGUUCGGAACAACUGCGGGAAACUGCAGCUAAUACCGAAUGUGCCCUUACGGGGAAAGAUUUAUCGCCAAUGGAUUAGCCCGCGUCCGAUUAGCUAGUUGGUGGGGUAAUGGCCCACCAAGGCUCCGACCGGUAGCUGUUCUGAGAGGAAGAUCAGCCACACUGGGACUGAGACACGGCCCAGACUCCUACGGGAGGCAGCAGUUGGGAAUCUUGGACAAUGGGGGAAACCCUGAUCCAGCCAUGCCGCGUGAGUGAUGAAGGCCUUCGGGUUGUAAAACUCUUUCGGCGGGGACGAUAAUGACGGUACCCGCAGAAGAAGCUCCGGCUAACUUCGUGCCAGCAGCCGCGGUAAUACGAAGGGGGCUAGCGUUGUUCGGAAUUACUGGGCGUAAAGCGCGCGCAGGCGGUUUUUCAAGUCAGUGGUGAAAGCCCGGAGCUCAACUCCGGAAUUGCCAUUGAAACUGUUAAACUUGAGGAUGAGAGAGGUGAGUGGAAUUCCCAGUGUAGAGGUGAAAUUCGUAGAUAUUGGGAAGAACACCGGUGGCGAAGGCGGCUCACUGGCUCAUUUCUGACGCUCAGGCGCGACAGCGUGGGCAAACAGGAUUAGAUACCCUAGUAGUCC
rnacentral:rRNA from 1 species